rnacentral:rRNA from 1 species
CCUUAACCUGCUAAAUAGUUACACGAACUUCGGUUCGUGGCCAACUUCUUAGAGGGACUACCGGCGUUUAGCCGGUGGAAGUUUGAGGCAAUAACAGGUCUGUGAUGCCCUUAGAUGUUCUGGGCCGCACGCGCGCUACACUGACAAAGUCAACGAGUUUAUAACCUUGGCCGGAAGGUCUGGGUAAUCUUGUAAACUUUGUCGUGCUGGGGAUAGAUCAUUGCAAUUAUUGAUCUUCAACGAGGAAUUCCUAGUAAGCGUGAGUCAUCAGCUCGCGUUGAUUACGUCCCUGCCCUUUGUACACACCGCCCGUCGCUACUACCGAUUGAAUGGUUUAGUGAGAUCUCCGGAUUGAGGUGCUGCAGCUGGCAACAGCAGUGGUACUUUGAGAAGCUGCUCAAACUUGAUCAUUUAGAGGAAGUAAAAGUCG